UCUGUCCUUAGAUUACUCUAUUUUCACUGCACCAGGGCUAAAGAGCAAGGACCCGUAUGAUCAACAGCCAGUAAAAUGCAAAGGCAUGGCCAAGGUUCCCCUGGUUCAGCAGGCCAAAAUUACUCUAUUUUCACUGCACCAGGGCUAAAGAGCAAGGACCCGUAUGAUCAACAGCCAGUAAAAUGCAAAGGUAA